rnacentral:rRNA from 1 species
AGCGAACGCUGGCGGCGUGCUUAACACAUGCAAGUCGAGUGCGCGUUUCGUAGCAAUACGGGAUGGCGCACGGCGCACGGGUGAGGAACACGUGGGCAACAUGCCCUCUGAUGGGGAAUAACCCCGCGAAAGCGGGGCUAAUACCGCAUAAGAUUCCGGGGACCUCGGUCCCUGGACUGAAAGCCCGCAAGGGCGUCGGAGGAGUGGCCCGCGGCCGAUUAGCUUGUUGGCGGGGAACGCCCACCAAGGCAAUGAUCGGUAGCCGGUCUGAGAGGAUGAUCGGCCACACUGGAACUGAGACACGGUCCAGGACUCCUACGGGAGGCAGCAGUGGGGAAUCUUGCGCAAUGGGCGAAAGCCUGACGCAGCGACG